CAUGCAAGUUUUUCUUGUGCAGGUGUUAACCUGGUCGUCAGCCACAAUCUCAGGAUCAACGCUUCCAGGACGAAAUGUAUCCCAUUGCAUUGGAAAAACUACCGAUGUAGGCCGAGUUAAGGAUCUCUUCAAUUCCCCUUUCUUCAAAUCCUGGUGUACGCCCAUGUGAAUGUGGAUGUAUUCACGAGGACACCCUUAAACCUUAUCCCGUCUGGUGUGGAUGGAACUCUUCAGCGGAUGGAUGGAGCAACUGUAGAUGCCUGGCUGUAUUCCCCAGGCACAAAGCUACCAGAAAAUUCCCAACAAAGCGGUCGUCAGCAGCUGGAGACACUGAUGGAGCGGCCAACGGGCACCCAACGACAGGAGGGCCGGAGAAUGCCGGGAAUCCUGUUUUCCGUGCAGCAAGCGGUGUUAAUGCGUGAUGCGUUGGCGGGGCCGCAAGAAACUAUGUGUGUCUACGUCCGUUCAUAUACCGCUGUCGCUUCUGUGGGGGAAAAAAAAGGACAAGCAAAAGUCCAAGGAAAACAAAAGAAAGAGAAACAUUUUCCCAAUGUAGAGUCACGCUUCGGAAAUAGAACUGAUGUCACCCACACAUCAUCAGCACUUGUGCCAUGCUGUUGCGUGAAAGGUCUCCAAGAUGAGGUGGCGCAUAUCAUGCAUGCACCGCGUAUAGUCCUUUGGUUAUGUACUCUUAUGCGUACCUCAUCCCGAUAGAGUUUGUUUUCUUACGCGCAAUACAGCACCUUCUGUUUGAUUAGAAUUAUAACGAAUCAAAACCAGCAGUCCUGUACAUAAUCCACUAUAGUGUUUUUAAUCUCCAUUGAAUUGAAUGAUGGACGACUGUACGUCAGCGGUUUAGUAUGAAUGCCUGUGUUGAUAUUCACGUUGAACGAUCGAGGGUAUUUUUUAAUAACCAUCCAUUAGAGCAGUUAAUAACGAAUUCUGAUGAAGACGAAUCGGGAGAAACAGUCGGAACGAAACGAUACCGCGCCCAAUAACGGAGACCGGCGAACAAUCAUGACGCCCGAACUUAUACAGCACGUCGGCACACGCCGUAAAAAAGCUCACAAAGGUUCACCUUUUUAUAUUUGAUGGAAACGGUCACGUUGAUACAUACGACUUGCAUGCGUGACUGGCGACCGCCGAUCUAUACCCUGUUUUAUUAUCGGCAUCAUCGCAUUAAUAGUAAUAAAACAUUGUGACUAAAAGGCAGCAUAUCUACUAUAUCAAGACCCCCAAAAAGCUGUCUGGAUGUAGCGGGAAAUGUAUACGAAAGAGAAAACUUUGCGUGCUGAUAUUUCCCCGUAUAUACUAUGUACAUACCCCCCCUCUCUCCAGCGCGAUCCAUUUAUUUAACUAGUUGUAAUAACUUUCCUUCUCGUCUCUCUCCCAUACAUUCUUUAUUCUUCUUCCGAACUUUUUGUAGGGUGUUGGUUCAUUAAUCUAAUUAAAAUGGGAUGUAACCUACGUAUCAGGUGGAAGGGGGUGGUGACAUCCGUGUUCGAUGUUGCUCUGGUGUCCUAGGAGAAGAAUCUACUUUCUUCAUAGGAGAAAUGUGACCCAAAUGUUGAAGGGUUAAAUUUAAUGCCAUUCGUAAGUUACAAGCUGUUAUGAGAAUGACCUGGUUUCGACUGGUUUUCGUCUUCCGUUAUAAGGCCCCUUGAUUAUAUAGUAAUUUUGAUUGAAAUAAAAUGACGGGAUUGACUUUAGCAUGUAAAACACGUAUAGCAGUUUUGGCGCUGACGAAGUUUGACGUCACCUCGUUUAACUCGGUGACUUGCGUUAAGUGAAGAGUACAGAAUCCGGCUCGACUUUUAUAAUUUGGCGUUGUCAAACAAACGAUUCGUCGAUGGCAGUGAUUUGAUGAUGCGCCCAUUGAUCAUAUCUUGGCGACUGUUGUGCCAUAACUGAAGUUCACAACGGGAAACGAGACCUUGCUGGUUUUGAUCAAAAGGUAGGUAUACGACACUUGGGUGGGCGUACGUCAAUAAUAAGACCCGUGCACCCAAUACACCUAUAGAUAAAGUCUAUACUCUAUACGCACGCUUUUAAACGUGAACUCUGGAUAGGAAAUACGUAGCGGACGUGUAUAUAGUACAAAGUCUUAAUAUAGCUGGGCAAAUUUGAUUUCUUUUUACCAGGCUCUUUUCUUUUUGCGAGUCGAGAAGCAACAAAAGGACAAAAACUUGGACAAAAAGGGUCCCAUUAAGGAUAUCUACGUAGGCACAUUAGAUCAAUCAUGCAAUGCAUCGACGGCGGUACUAUGUUCUAUUUUUGAACAUUGACUUUUCUUUUAAAAACAAGCAGAGGCACAUCAAGAAUGAAAAUGCGGAAAAGAAAAGGGGAUAGAAAAAUUGAUAUUAUUCCGCCUACGCUUUCCUUUCCACGUUUUCUCUUCUGUUUGUCCUUGUGUUGAAUAGUCUGUGCUGUUUGCUUAUCUGGUGAAUGGAAAAGAGAAUUACGCGAUUGCCGUCGAAU